rnacentral:rRNA from 1 species
AACCGGAUUAGAUACCCUGGUAGUCCACGCCCUAAACGAUGUCUACUAGUUGUCGGGUCUUAAUUGACUUGGUAACGCAGCUAACGCGUGAAGUAGACCGCCUGGGGAGUACGGUCGCAAGAUUAAAACUCAAAGGAAUUGACGGGGACCCGCACAAGCGGUGGAUGAUGUGGAUUAAUUCGAUGCAACGCGAAAAACCUUACCUACCCUUGACAUGUACAGAAUCCCGAAGAGAUUUGGGAGUGUUCGAAAGAAAACUGUAACACAGGUGCUGCAUGGCUGUCGUCAGCUCGUGUCGUGAGAUGUUGGGUUAAGUCCCGCAACGAGCGCAACCCUUGUCAUUAGUUGCUACGAAAGGGCACUCUAAUGAGACUGCCGGUGACAAACCGGAGGAAGGUGGGGAUGACGUCAAGUCCUCAUGGCCCUUAUGGGUAGGGCUUCACACGUCAUACAAUGGUACAUACAGAGGGCCGCCAACCCGCGAGGGGGAGCUAAUCCCAGAAAGUGUAUCGUAGUCCGGAUUGUAGUCUGCAACUCGACUACAUGAAGUUGGAAUCGCUAGUAAUCGCGGAUCAGCAUGUCGCGGUGAAUACGUUCCCGGGUCUUGUACACACCGCCCGUCACACCAUGGGAGCGGGUUUUACCAGAAGUAGGUAGCCUAACCGUAAGGAGGGCGCUUACCACGGUAGGAUUCGUGACUGGGGUGAAGUCGUAACAAGGUAGCCGUA